GAUGAACGCUGGCGGCGUGCCUAAUACAUGCCAGUCGAGCGAACGGACGAGAAGCUUGCUUCUCUGAUGUUAGCGGCGGACGGGUGAGUAACACGUGGAUAACCUACCUAUAAGACUGGGAUAACUUCGGGAAACCGGAGCUAAUACCGGAUAAUAUUUCGAACCGCAUGGUUCAAAAGUGAAAGACGGUCUUGCUGUCACUUAUAGAUGGAUCCGCGCUGCAUUAGCUAGUUGGUAAGGUAACGGCUUACCAAGGCAACGAUGCAUAGCCGACCUGAGAGGGUGAUCGGCCACACGGGAACUGAGACACGGUCCAGACUCCUACGGGAGGCAGCAGUAGGGAAUCUUCCGCAAUGGGCGAAAGCCUGACGGAGCAACGCCGCGUGAGUGAUGGAGGUCUUCGGAUCGUAAAACUCUGUUAUUAGGGAAGAACAUAUGUGUAAGUAACUGUGCACAUCUUGACGGUACCUAAUCAGAAAGCCACGGCUAACUACGUG
rnacentral:rRNA from 1 species